UGGGGAAUAUUGGACAAUGGGCGAAAGCCUGAUCCAGCCAUGCCGCGUGUGUGAAGAAGGUCUUCGGAUUGUAAAGCACUUUAAGUUGGGAGGAAUGGCAUUAACCUAAUACGUUGGUGUCUUGACGUUACCGACAGAAUAAGCACCGGCUAACUCUGUGCCAGCAGCCGCGGUAAUACAGAGGGUGCAAGCGUUAAUCGGAAUUACUGGGCGUAAAGCGCGCGUAGGUGGUUCGUUAAGUUGGAUGUGAAAUCCCCGGGCUAAACCUGAGAACUGCAUUCAAAACUGACGAGCUAGAGGAUGGUAGAGGGUGGUAGAAUUUCCUGUGUAGCGGUGAAAUGCGUAGAUAUAGGGAGGAACACCAGUGGCGAAGGCGACCACCUGGACUGAUACUGACACUGAGGUGCGAAAGCGUGGGGAGCAAACA
rnacentral:rRNA from 1 species